AUUGAACGCUGGCGGCAUGCCUUACACAUGCAAGCCGAACGGCAGCACGGGGCAACCUGGUGGCGAGUGGCGAACGGGUGAGUAAUGCAUCGGAACGUACCUUUCAGUGGGGGAUAACGUAGCGAAAGUUACGCUAAUACCGCAUAUUCUGUGAGCAGGAAGGCAGGGGAUCGCAAGACCUUGCGCUGAUCGAGCGGCCGAUGUCAGAUUAGCUAGUUGGUGAGGUAAAGGCUCACCAAGGCGACGAUCUGUAGCGGGUCUGAGAGGAUGAUCCGCCACACUGGAACUGAGACACGGUCCAGACUCCUACGGGAGGCAGCAGUGGGGAAUUUUGGACAAUGGGGGCAACCCUGAUCCAGCCAUGCCGCGUGAGUGAAGAAGGCCUUCGGGUUGUAAAGCUCUUUCGGCCGGGAAGAAAUCGCACGGGCUAAUACCCUGUGUGGAUGACGGUACCGGAAUAAGAAGCACCGGCUAACUACGUGCCAGCAGCCGCCGUAAUAC
rnacentral:rRNA from 1 species